rnacentral:lncRNA from 1 species
CGGCAACUGUGCAGAGAGGCUUGCAGGUCCAAACCACUGGUAGCAGCCCCUGGUAUAUCCAGGACAUCAGCACAUAGAACCAGUGAAAGGGUCCUCCCUCAUAGUGACGCAUGUCAUAGACUCAGAUUUAUACAAACAAAUGCUGAGCAAACCAUGAAGAGUCUCUGGUAUUUUCAACAAUAUCAUCACAGAGGAACUGUAUUGAUUUCCUUGAACUUUUCAAAUGUAGAGGAGCCUUUAGAAGGAAGCCUUGAGCAUGAGGACAGACCCCCCUCAUCCAACCACCACCUGACUCUGUGUGAACCUGGAACUGUUAGAAUGUCUGUGCUGUGAUAAAAGGUCAUCUCCCUACAAUGUUAUGAUACAGACCUCAAACCUACAAACAUGAGGAACUUCUGCCUCCAGGUUAACUGCUUACCCACUGUACAAGACACGUUACACACAGUCCAGGAGGCGGAGCUUCUGAGAUAUCUAGAAACAGCUUAGAGGCAAAAUGACAAAAUAAAGCAGCAACAACAAAUAAAACCAAUCUUCUCGAACU